rnacentral:rRNA from 1 species
UACGUAGGGGGCAAGCGUUGUCCGGAAUCAUUGGGCGUAAAGCGCGUGUAGGCGGCUCGGUAAGUCCGCUCUGAAAGCCCGGGGCUCAACCCUGGGAGGCGGGUGGAUACUGCUGAGCUCGAGUCCGGAAGAGGCGAGUGGAAUUCCUGGUGUAGCGGUGAAAUGCGCAGAGUAUCAGGAGGAACACCAAUGGCGAAGGCAGCUCGCUGGCCACUACUGACGCUGAGAAGCGAAAGCAUGGGGAGCGAACAGG